AAAAAUACAUAAAAAUUUAAAACUUUUCUUUCGUUCACACACCAAACUCAACCUGUGCAUGCACUGUACAUAAACAUAAUCAUAAUCAUGACCCCUCGGUGGGAUCUCAUCAAUGCCCCAAUGGGCGAUACAUCAUAAGUUGAGUUGGUUUGCAUAAUCAUCAUAAAAUAUCUAAAAUCAUGUAUUAAAAGGGAUAUCUUCUACAUAUAGUCAAGCACAACCUCUAAUCCUCAAUGUCAUUNN
rnacentral:lncRNA from 1 species